rnacentral:misc_RNA from 1 species
AACGCACCUUGCGCCCUUUGGUAUUCCGAAGGGCAUGCCUGUUUGAGUGUCAUUAAAUUCUCAACUCUGUCAGGUUCUCUGUGACUUGGUCAGAGCUUGGAUUUUUGGGGUGUGCCGGUUUUGACAAGGAACCAGCUCCCCUUGAAUGGAUUAGCGAGCUUCCCAGCAUUGAGGUUGGAUAGGCUUUGGUUUGAUAAUUAUCUAUGCCAUCGCCGUGAAGUCUUCUUUGCUACAGUGAUGUUUGCUUCAAAUCGUCUAUUAACUUGGACAAAUUAAUUUGACAUUUGACCUCAAAUCAGGUAGGAUUACCCGCUGAACUUAA